UAGGAAUCUUGGGAAUGGGCGAAAGCCUGACCCAGCAACGCCGCGUGGGCGAUGAAGGCCUUCGGCUCGUAAACCCCUGUUGCCCGGGGCGAACAGCGUCUUUCGAGGCGCCUGACGGUACCGGGUGAGGAAGCACCAGCUAACUCCGUGCCAGCAGCCGCGGUAAUCCGGAGGGUGCGAGCGUUGUCCGGAAUCACUGGGCGUAAAGGGCGCGUAGGUGGCCCGUCAAGCGCGCGGUGAAAGCCCGGGGCUCAACCCCGGGUCGGCCGUGCGGACUGGCGGGCUCGAGCACUGUAGGGGCGGGUGGAAUUCCGGGUGUAGCGGUGGAAUGCGUAGAGAUCCGGAAGAACACCGGUGGCGAAGGCGGCCCGCUGGGCAGGAAGGCUCGCAAGAGCCGGCUGACACUGAGGCGCGACAGCGUGGGGAGCAAAC
rnacentral:rRNA from 1 species